UAUCUUUUACUUGGCCCCAUGGCUGCUGC
rnacentral:piRNA from 1 species